rnacentral:rRNA from 1 species
GACGAACGCUGGCGGCGUGCUUAACACAUGCAAGUCGAACGGUGAACGAGGGAGCUUGCUCCCUCCGGAUCAGUGGCGAACGGGUGAGUAACACGUGAGCAAUCUGCCCCGAACUCUGGGAUAAGCGUUGGAAACGACGUCUAAUACCGGAUACGACGCGGGAGGGCAUCCUCUCCGCGUGGAAAGAACUUCGGUUCGGGAUGAGCUCGCGGCCUAUCAGCUUGUUGGUGAGGUAACGGCUCACCAAGGCGACGACGGGUAGCCGGCCUGAGAGGGUGACCGGCCACACUGGGACUGAGACACGGCCCAGACUCCUACGGGAGGCAGCAGAGGGGAAUAUUGCACAAUGGGCGCAAGCCUGAUGCAGCAACGCCGCGUGAGGGACGACGGCCUUCGGGUUGUAAACCUCUUUUAGCAGGGAAGAAGCGAAAGUGACGGUACCUGCAGAAAAAGCACCGGCUAACUACGU